GUAACCGUAGGGGAACCUGCGGUUGGAUCACCUCCUUACCUUAAAGAACCUGCCUUUGUAGUGCUCACACAGAUUGUUUGAUAAAU
rnacentral:rRNA from 1 species